GAUGAACGCUAGCUACAGGCUUAACACAUGCAAGUCGCGGGGCAGCAUGGGGGUUGCUUGCAAUCCCCGAUGGCGGCCGGCGCACGGGUGAGUAACGCGUAUCCAACCUGCCCUUCACCACGGGAUAACCCGGCGAAAGUCGGACUAAUACCGUAUGUUGUCCAUUGACGGCAUCCGAUUUGGACGAAAGGUUUGGCGGUGAAGGAUGGGGAUGCGUCCGAUUAGCUGGACGGCGGGGUGACGGCCCACCGUGGCGACGAUCGGUAGGGGUUCUGAGAGGAAGGUCCCCCACACUGGAACUGAGACACGGUCCAGACUCCUACGGGAGGCAGCAGUGAGGAAUAUUGGUCAAUGGGCGUAAGCCUGAACCAGCCAAGUAGCGUGCAGGAUGACGGCCCUAUGGGUUGUAAACUGCUUUUAUGCGGGGAUAAAGUGGCCCACGUGUGGGUUUUUGCAGGUACCGCAUGAAUAAGGACCGGCUAAUUCCGUG
rnacentral:rRNA from 1 species